CUGUGGUUUCUGUGUCUUCAGGAAGACUUGCAGGGGAUUCCGAUGCAAGUUGGAGUUUGAGAAACACUGGAGUUUAUUUGAAGUAUUAAAACCGCGCCUGGUACACAAUGCCAAAACAACUUUGCAUCCUAAGGUAAAUUCUACCUGGUCAUUGUCUCACGCCGCUGGAUUUGAUUUCCUUGUUUAUGUUCAUUGGGCAAAUGUGAUGACUUUGGCCUCAAUGAGCUUGGACGUGGACUCUUUUCCAAAGCCUCUAGUUAGGAGCCUGGUCCAGCGAAUGCCUUGAUUUGAGCUGUGUAAUACACUGAGCCAGAGAGCCCUGUUGAGGCUGCCUGGACCUCUGAGCUACGAGAAUGGCCUGGCUGUGGGACAUCUGAAUCUGUAACACCUGAUCAGCACAUGCCCAACUUGCUGUGAGUGCUCAAAGGGAAGAGGAGGGACCCUUGGAGCGCAGACCCUGCAAUGGGAGUUGGCAUCUCAUAACUGAACAGGGCUGAGCCGAGCCACCAGGACAUGGCUGUCCAGACAGCUGCUGGGCAUAAUGCCCAGAACAGGAGCCGCCAUCUUGCCACCAGGAAGGAGAGGCCAAGAGAAUCACAGCAAUGCUGGCUCUGGACCUCAGGAGCUGCUGAACAAAUGCUAACAGCUGCCUGCUCCAGACAUCGUGUUCUAUGAAAAAAUUGCAAACUCUCACUGUUCAUUAUGCUCCCUUAGAGCGGAAAGCCUUCCUGACCAAUACAACUAGGGCACAUUCCUUAUUGUGGACAGGCAAGCAAACGGUAGUGGGGGUGGGUGCAUAAGGAUUUUCCAAGUCUGGUUAAUUCAUCAGAAAGAAGUUGAAGACACUUGUUCUCAAAAGCAAGGGAAGUAUCGAGUCCUGCUGGGGUCAGGUCAGAACAACACAGAAGCAGACUAGGGGAGACCUCACUGGCCAAGGAGGGGGACAAUUUGAGCCUUCGGAAACAAUGUCUACAAAGGGCUAAAUUGAGUUAAGAGUGGAUCAAGGGAAAUAACCAAACACUUAUCUUGCCUUUUUCGGUAUGAACUGUAUUUCAGAGCAACCAAAGAGAUAACAAGGAGUUCGUUAUAGAAGAAUUCCAGCUAAUAAAGACAGAAGGAAUGGUACGGCUAGAAAACGACCAUGCUGGAGCACAUGAUGAACUGAAGAAUUCAGGCAGCCACCGUCCAUAAGUAUUAGGUGAAAGGUUGACAGGGAACUUUGGAUGGGCCAUGCUGAUAACGCCUGAACCCGCGGAUCACUCUUUACAUCUCUAAACGUGGGACAGUCAGACACCACGUACCUCGUGAUGGAACACGUCAGAAAGUACACAGCAUCUGUGAAUCUAAUCCAGCCUGGACGACAUGAGGAGGAAACCGUCAGCCAAGUCCAGAAGGUAGGACAUUACACAGGACAGUGACUCAUUUCUCCCCUUCCUCAAGUAAACGGCAUGAAAACAGGGAGGGGAGUAGAUUACAGAGUAAAAGAGACUUAAGAGUUCUUUCAGUCAAACAUGAUGUUUGGAUCCCAGUUUGAAGGAGACAACUAUAAAAAUAUUGUUGGAGCUACUUAGGAAUAAUUUUAUAUGUUCUGGGUAUUACCUCACAUGAUAAUGGCAUUAUGGUUACGUGGUUUUUUUAAUGU